rnacentral:lncRNA from 1 species
ACAAGCACAGAUAAAUAAUCACAUAAAUUCAAAUAAGCUCUAAAAAUCAUGAAAUUAAUAUGGAAGGUAGAUCAUGAUUUUAGAUGAAUUUAGGAAAAAGAAUUAUUGAAAUCAGAGUUAGCAUGUCGUAUUUGUGAAAUGGCCAGAAUUUAAUCAUGCGAAAAAGGCUAACGGUGAUUAAGAAAUACAUGCUUCACAAGAUGAAUUUUGGCUGGUAGUGCAUGUUGCAUGCAUGCAUGUACUAUUUGGAGUUAAUGCUUAUGGCCCACACAUGCAUGGUUAGAGAGAAAUUAGCAGGGGUCAUUAGAGCUCUUCUGUAUGUCAUGGUUCUAUUCGUAGAGUUCUUGGCAAUGAAUCGGUACAGACAAAUACAAAAAAAAAAUACAGAAAAAUACUACAGAAAGACAGAGAAGAGCAAGGAGAUGCUCAUGAGCUGCUCACCUCGUCUUGCGACGACACUCGAGCUCAGUUUGUGCGUAUGGCUGUAUACGGUAUACGCGAAGUGAGAGUAAGUGAGCGAGUGAGUGAACGUGUUUCUCGGGUGGUGAGAGUGAGCACCCGAGGCUGGCUUUUUAUAGCCAGAGGAGUGAGGUUAUGUCUCUGGUGCUCAGCUUCGUGCCAUUCGAAUUGCUACUGUAGUGCAUGGCUACAC